AUUGAACGCUGGCGGCAGGCCUAACACAUGCAAGUCGAGCGAGCGGCGGACGGGUGAGUAAUGUAUGGGGACUGCCCGAUAGAGGGGGAUAACUACUGGAAACGGUGGCUAAUACCGCAUACUAGCGGAUAACCCAUAUGGGAUUAGCUAGUAGGUGGGGUAAAGGCUAACCUGGGUGAGGAUCUAUAGAUGGUCUGAGAGGAUGAUGAGGCACACUGGGACUGAGACACGGCCCAGACUCCGUCGGAGCCAGCAGUGGGGAAUAUUGCAAAAUGGGCGCAAGCCUGAUGCAGCCAUGCCGCGUGUAUGAAGAAGGCUCUAGGGUUGUAAAGUACUUUCAUCGGGGAGGCGUUACCCGCAGAAGAAGCACCGGCUAACUCCGUGCCAGCCGCCGCGGUAAUUC
rnacentral:rRNA from 1 species